GGCCAGGCUGGUCUCGAGCUCCUGACCUCAAAUGAUUCACCCACCUCGGCCUCCCAAAGUGUUGGGAUUACAGGCAUGAGCCAACAUGCCAGGCCCAAAUUUCCUUUUAAAGACAGGAUUGAUGACAAUGGCAAAUACUAUUUGUGAAAACAUUCCCAGGUUUCCUGUAAUCUACUUUUGCUUUCUCUGUUAAAAGAAUUGGAUGAGGAUGGGAUUGGCCUACAGCACAGGUGCAAAGCAAGUAGCUCCAAAAUAAACACAAACUAUCUCAGUAUUCCUCACACUCAGUAGAAGUGUGGAAUAAUGAUGUAAGCAUAGGUGAUAAUGAAAACUCUUGACAACUGUUUAUCUGGUGAAAGGAGAGAUAGGCAAAAUUUCCUCACCUUUUGACUACACACGAUUUACACAAUUAGAGAGAACACGUUCCAUCUUCCCUCACCAAUAAAAAGUUAUUAGUGGUGAAUUUGUUGAACUAGAACGUCACAUUGUAGGUUAUUUAAAAAUAAAAAGUGGGUAUCAAUAGAUUGAUUGGCUGCUCAUCCAUUCAUUGAUUCUUUUAUCACACAUGUAUUGAGAGUCCACUCUGCCAGGCUUUCUGUUCUAGCUCUGAGGAUUCAGCAGUAGAGAGACAGGCAAGGUCAUGGCCCUCAUGGAGCUUACAUCCUUUUAAGGUAGAGAAAGAUAGGUAAAUAAGUAGGCAAUAAUUGAACAUAUUAUGCCAGACUGAGAUAACAGCGGUGAAGGAAGUAGGGUAGAAUACCAGGAACCGUGUGGGUUGAGAGGUGAGGGAUUCUAUUAUAAAAAGAACAGUCCCACAUCAUCCAAAGGAACCAGCCAAGCAUGAGGAGAAACAGCAACCCCAAUGGCCACGAAAUGGGAGGAGCUUGGUGUGUUGGAAGAACCAGGCCAGCAUGUCUGGAGCAGUGAGAAAAGAGUGGAAUAAGACAAGUUGGAGAGGUUGGCUGCAGUCAGAUCCAUCUAUUCAUCUGUCCAUCUGCCUAUAUUUAGCCCCUGUCCAUUUAUUUAUCUACUCCCCCCAUCAAAAAUCAUUUGGGACAACUUAUAAAAAUACACAAGAUAAAAUAGACAAAUGAGAGAAGGGGAGGCCAACUGGAAAAAUAAAGUUCGGAGAAGAUUAACAUGUAAACACAUGUCAUGAUACCUGCAGUUAUGAAAAGUAGUCUGAAAAGUCAGUUCUGAGUUUCUCAGUGCUCAAAACAAACGAAAAAUGCCAUCAGAUAUGUGAUUCAUAGUGUUCAUGAGAUAAAAAUAAAUUAUUUUCUUAGAAGAAACAUUUCACCCCGUCCUGAGAGUUGAGAGAAACUUCUUUAUGGCAUCCGUGGUGGUUCUGUAUUGUGUCAGCUUGGCUCAGUGGAACCACUGUUCCCAGGACCCCCUUCCCUCUGUGGCUCUGGGCAGAAUUGGCUGAAAGAGGAAAUGGUGGAAGAUUGAGAAGGCAGAAGUGAAUCAACAGUGAUUUUCUGCAGGUUAGCAGAGAUAGAUGUAGUUGAGGAAGAGACACAGAGAUGCCAGUAGGUUCCAACUUAUUUUUGCUCUCCUCUCUCUCUGCAUCUGGCUCUUCGUGCCUGAAGACAAGAGCAAACCCACCUUACUACCAGGUGCAGCAGCAACAGCCUUCGGUAGUGUCUCCAUGCCAGCCUCUAGCAUCUAGAUGUUCCCAGCUUUCUACAGGGCCCUGUAAGCUCCCACUCUCCCCCUCUGCCAGUGUCACAGGAGGGUCGGUUAGUGACACGUCCCUGAUCUUUCAACCUCCUGCCUCCCUCAACCGUGUAAUGUCCAAAUCCUAUAAUAGAUCCCUCAAUCUAUGAUGCUUAUCAUGGUUCUGCUUCCCAUUUCAAACCCUGGCUGAGACGUGGUCUCAUGAGGGGACAUUGCGUGGUGUGGUGAAAGUCACCCCACAAUGUCCCCACGGUAAACAUAAAAUAGCUGUGAAUUUCUCUUAGAGAGCUGAGGACACGAGCAAAAGUGGAUUGUCUGCCAGGCUGAAGAGACCCCAAGGUGAACAGAAAAGGAUGGAAGCUGCUAUCUGGCCUGCCAGCCUUUCUCAUAUUCCUUUAGGACCACCUACCAUGACAGUUCCAAACUCAGCCGCAGGCAGCCAUCAGACAGAGCUACUGUGGAACUCAAGGCACCCUGGGUGAGACAAUUCGUUAUUUGUACAUCUUUCUGUCAUCCGUGGGGACUGACUCGCCUCCUGAAAAUAUGGCUGAAAUGAGUCUGACACUGUAAAGAGGCAGCAGCAACAGCAGUGGAUUCGAAGAGCUCCAGAAGUGCAAAUUGAGCAUUUCGCAGAUGUUCCAAUAAAGGCAAACUGGCUGUGGCAUUUUUCACUUGAAUGAUUCUGCUUCAUGCAACAUCAGGAUGAGCACGCGGAGGCUGCUUUGCAUUAGAAAGUAAACAUACGUAUGCACAAUUGCACACCACACAGUGGUUUGUGUGGGUGGAGGAGAAUGUGCUUUUAAGGAAUAAUCUCUCCUCUUCAGAAAACCAACCGCUUUAUAUGUUUAUUGGCCAGAUUUUCUUUGGUGGUGUUUUAAUGGCUUGUUUGUCAGACAUGUCGCAUAUUAAACUAGCAAAGCCUGGAUUCUCUUAGGAUCCAAGGUCCUCUUUAUUCUCUCCUCCAUAUUGGAAAUCAUUCCUGUCAGCUCGUGCUCUCCAAGCUGCCUGGAAGAACUUUGGCAUAGUUUUCCUAACCUUUCAAACAGUAAAAGCAAAACUCUCCUUUGAUAAAAAAGCCGGAGGACUUUGGCAUGUAGCCAUAAAGGAUGCAGGCGACUCGGCUGCGAUCUGACAGAAUAAUCCACAAAACACUGAAAAGUUCUCGUUAAGGUCCCCAGAGUGGGCUGAGGCACUUUACUUGUACUUAACAUAUAUCAACUGUCACCCGGCGGCAGUCAGUGUUGAACUGAACACAAUGGAACAUCCAGAUGGUCUAAACAAAGCGAACAAAUGUUCACUGCUAUUAAAAGCUGUUUACAUCAACUUCCAGGAUUUCAUGUAGUGAAGUUUAUAUUGUGUCACUACUGAGGUGCUUAGCUCUGUCUGCAUCGAAGACCGGCCUUUUAAAAACUCCUGUUGCUUGUAUGCUCAUGCUCUCAGCACCUAGUGGAAAGCAAAGUUGAAUAAUAAAUCAGGAAAUUGCAUAAUGUCAAAUAGUCAUGCAAUUUCAGACAUUUUAAGUGAUUUGCCCCCAUUCUGUUAUAUUGGUUGUCUAUUGCAGCCUCAGCUCCAGACCCAAUAAACACAAAGCAGACCCUUUUCUCUGAUGGGGGUGUGUCAUGGAUGGAUGGAUAGAUGGGUGACCGCUAUCUGCCUCUGCAGACAGGGCCUCCGAGUCUUGUUGGCUCCGCACUGGGGAUGUUUACGCAGUAAUGGUUUUGUUUUCUUCCUCCAAGAUGCGGCGAUAUCAGGUCCUGUCUUAUUGGGGAUUAAUAUACAUGAGCGAUAAACCCACACUUUUUCUGUCUUCUUCCUUUGACCUCUUUAUGGCAUCUCUUUUACAAAUUCCAGACACACUGCCUACAUUGUUAAAGAUUUGUUGUUGCCAUUAAUAACAAUACUCAUAUAAAAGGUGUCCAGCUUAUUUAUUGUUAAAGAAAAAUCUACAAAAACUGUCACUCUUUAUUAAUCACUACCAAUUCCUCUUGGCAUAACAUAGCUAAACAAAUAAGUAAAUACUAAAAGAAUACUAUUUAUUAAUUUGCUCUACAAUUCAUAGUAUAACAAAAUAGAAAAGACCCUCAUACAUGCAAGUUCAUUACUUAAUUAAAAUAAUUAUUUUCUAUAUAAACAUCAUUUUAGCCAGGCACGGUGGCUCAAGCCUGUAAUC